rnacentral:rRNA from 1 species
GACGAACGCUGGCGGCGUGCCUAAUACAUGCAAGUAGAACGCACAGUUUAUACCGUAGCUUGCUACACCAUAAACUGUGAGUUGCGAACGGGUGAGUAACGCGUAGGUAACCUGCCUGGUAGCGGGGGAUAACUAUUGGAAACGAUAGCUAAUACCGCAUAAUAUUGAUUAUUGCAUGAUAAUUGAUUGAAAGAUGCUAUUGCAUCAUUACCAGAUGGACCUGCGUUGUAUUAGCUAGUAGGUGAGGUAACGGCUCACCUAGGCGACGAUACAUAGCCGACCUGAUAGGGUGGUCGGCCACACUGGGACUGAGACAGGGCCCAGAGUCCUACGGGAGGCAGCAGUAGGGAUACUUGGGCAAGAGACGAGAGUCUGACCGAACAACGCCGCGGGAGUGAAGAGGGUUUUCGGAUCGUAAAUCUCGGUUGUAAGGGAAGAACGGGUGUGAGAGUGGAAAGUUCACUCUGUGACGGUAUCUUACCAGAAAGGGACGGCUAACUACGUG